rnacentral:lncRNA from 1 species
CCAACACCACCAAGUCAUGGACAACAGCCACCAUAUUAUUUCAAAUCACCUCCAUAUUACUACAAAUCCCCACCUCCACCUUCUCCAUCGCCACCACCUCCAUAUGUCCACAAAUACCCACCUUAUUACUACAAAUCUCCACCUCCACCAUCUCCCUCACCACCUCCUCCGUAUGUGUACAAGUCCCCACCACCUCCAUCUCCCUCUCCUCCUCCUCCAUAUGUCUACAAGUCACCACCUCCUCCAUCACCUUCACCUCCCCCACCAUAUGUCUAUAAGAGUCCACCACCACCCUCUCCAUCACCACCACCUCCAUAUGUCUACAAGUCUCCUCCUCCACCAACACCCUCACCUCCCCCGCCCUAUGUUUACAAGUCACCACCACCUCCUUCCCCUUCACCUCCUCCUCCAUAUGUCUACAAGUCACCACCUCCUCCAUCUCCUUCACCUCCCCCACCAUAUGUCUAUAAGAGUCCACCACCACCCUCUCCAUCACCACCACCUCCAUAUGUCUACAAGUCUCCUCCUCCACCAUCACCUUCUCCUCCCCCACCCUAUAUUUAUAAGUCGCCACCACCUCCAUCUCCUUCACCUCCUCCUCCAUAUGUCUACAAGUCACCACCUCCACCAUCCCCAUCUCCACCACCACCAUAUGUCUACAAAUCUCCACCCCCACCAUCACCUUCACCCCCUCCACCAUAUGUAUAUAAGUCACCACCUCCUCCAUCUCCCUCUCCUCCCCACCAUAUGUUUACAAGUCACCACCUCCACCGUCUCCAUCCCCACCACCUCCAUACGUUUAUAAGUCACCUCCUCCAGCAUCUCCUUCACCACCUCCUCCAUAUAUCUACAAGUCACCACCACCACCAUCCCCUUCACCACCCCCUCCAUACGUCUAUAAGUCCCCUCCUCCUCCUUCUCCUUCACCCCCUCCUCCAUAUGUUUACAAAUCUCCUCCCCCACCAUCUCCUUCACCUCCUCCACCCUAUGUCCAUAAGUCACCUCCACCUCCUUCAGCUUCACCACCUCCUCCAUACUACUACAAAUCUCCACCUCCACCUUCUCCAUCACCUCCUCCACCAUAUGUCUAUAGGUCACCGCCACCUCCUUCGCCUUCACCACCGCCUCCUUAUAUUUACAAGUCUCCACCAUCUCCAUCACCUCCUCCAUAUCAUCCCUACCUCUACAGCUCACCCCCGCCUCCCAUCUAUUAAGCUUCCGGCUAUCAUUUGAAAUUUUUUCAAUGAAUUAUAUUCAGCAUUGUUGUGGUUAAUUUGUUUUCUAGUGAAUUAAUAGCCUUAUUUUGAUUCAAAUGCAUCUGUGCAUGUAUGGUGUUAAUUCAUAAGUUUGUGUUUAUUUAUCUCCUUUAGUUGUUUUUAAAAAAAAUUAUAUAUUUUUUGUUCGUUUUUACCUUCUUAUCACUAAAAUCGACACAAAAUUAGAUACCAAAAAAUAUUAUUUGAUUAUUUGAAUCUAGUGAAUUCAGAAGAUAAUAUACAUUGAUGAAUCCUAAUAAAUAGCUGUAUAGCAGACCAAAUGAAUAGAGCACCAGUAUGAUUAAUGAAAUUUUCAGGAAUUAAUGAAACCUACAUACUAAUAAAAUGAUGAGUUUAGUAUUCUCUCCUUGGAUGCUAUGUUCUCAAGAAUUACACAGUUUUGAUUGAAUGAUAACUAAAUAAGUAUUAAGUGAGUAACAUGUGAGUUUGGUGGCAUUUAGGGUGGGAAUGGAAAAGAGUUUCCCACCAUAGGAAAGUCUUUAUUGACCAUUAGAUUAAAGAGUAACACUAAUCUUAUUAUGUUCUCUAUACAGUAGAUUUUUUUCCUUUUAUCUUCAAUCUCUCAACUGUGAAAGCAACCCAGAAAAAAACUUACUUUUUAAGCAAAAAUCUUGUUGUAGCAUAAGUACUAUUGGUAUCUUAAAAAUCAACUCACGGGUCUACCCAAAUUUAAUAUCUUUACUUCAUACAUAAAUCAGAAGCAAAUAUCAAAGCAAAUUCAACAUUCAAUUCCAGCAACCCAAGAAUCAAAGCCAUGAAAUCAAAGCAAAAACUUGCUUCCUUGAAACAAGCUCUCACCUCUGCCCUUCUGACAGAUCCCUCAUCUCCGCUGCAAAGCACAACCUCUUGUUUCACCUCUUUGUUUAUUUUUUUGUAGUUUCACUUUUAAAGAUGCACAUAACCUCUUGUUUGAAAUUAAUUAAAAAAGGAAUGAAUAAGCUCUCAACAUACAAACUCAUUUCAUCAAAUUUCGGGUUUUCCAUUCAAACUCAACCUACAAAAUUUAGAAAAUGAAAAUCUGAAAUUUAAUAGCAUUUUCCCUUGGUCUAACUCAUGAUUUUGAGCCAACAAUUUAAUAGCCAUGGCCAUGGAGAUGAGACGUGAUAACAAUUUAAUUGCAGGUCGAGAGGUUGAAGAAAUGGAAGAAAAAAAAAAUACAGUGUGGAGAGAGCAUGAUAAGAUCUUAAAUCUAAUGGUCAAAAACUAUUUUCUUACGGUGGGAAACUCUUUCCUAUUCCCACCCUAAAUGCCACCUGUGAGUUUGUUUGCAAUAACUACAAACAAUAGAACUUCUAAUACUAUAUGCAUGCAGUGUAUGAGUGUGAAAAAUAUAAUAUGCAAUUGAGGUAAUGAAUGAAGAAGCAUAAAUAUAAUUGAAAUCACAAGAAUCAAGCACAAACUAUGCAAGUAAAGAUGGAUACAAACAUAGUUAAAUGUCAAAGUUUGCUUAUACUUAUCAGUAACUAAUGCAAUUUGAAUCAUUGAUUUGAUCAGGUUUUUUUUUGCAAGAACAAAAGGGAUUAUAUUAAUAAUAAGCAAAAGUGUGCAUAAAAGUUUACAACCAAAAUCAUCACCCAUAAUGACACCAACCAAGACGAGAUCAAAUUGCAUUACACAAUUUCCUAACGUAUUUUCCACAACAGCCAGCAUAUUAUGCAGUGUAUCUUCAUUUUACCACUUCAAUUAAGAAAAAUAAAUGAAAUUUUAGCAUUUAGAUCAUUCAAUCAAGAGAGGCAUGUAAUCAGCAUUAUACCCUUAGAACUAGAACAAAAUAUUACAAGUCUCACAAAUCAAAUCAAACAUAACAAACAGACAUGUAAAAAGUGGAGGUUUGUUUAGCAAAUAAUGGCAAUUUUAGUCGCCUAUUUUUACGAGUGGUAGUUUACCGGAAUGCCACAAACCCUGCUGCCAUUAAUAAUAAGCGACGGGCAGUUUACUAUAGAACGCCACAAUACACAUGGUAUAAAAUGGUGGUUAUAACCUCUGCAAUUAUACUGUUGAGAAUAAGUGCAACAUUCUAUAAUACAACAAACCCUGGCUAUUGUCUAGCAACUCUACAAAGUGUCCAAGGAUCCAAUAAAGCUAUUAGACUAUGUUUGGGAAAAGGGAAGGGGAAGAAGGAUAUUCCACAUACUUGAAUAUGAGGUUUACUUUUCUUCAUAAUACAAAAUCUUCCUAAUACGGGAGAACUCAAAAAAUGUACUGCAAGAGGACUUUAGAGAGCUUAAAAAAAAUUAUUCAUAUAAUUUCCAUCUUUAUAUAAUACUCUCAAAAUUAAAACUAAAUAAAAUACAUUAAACAUAAGCAUUUCCUAUUCAAAUAAACUGUGAGAUUUAUCUCUUUCCCUCUCCUCCCUUCCCACCACCACCACCCCCACCCACACACACACACACACACACACACACAAACGCCCUCUCACUUCCCUCCUCUCGAGACUGGCAAAACGGAACAUAACGAACUUGAAAUUUUUAAGAUAAGCCUAUCUAAACUUGCAGUAACAAUGGGAUUAUUAGUAGCCUUGAGCUCAUGACGCUACCUAACCGUUAAAUCAUGAACUGGAGGCUUUCCUACCAUUUUAUUUUUCUAAUCAAUUUAAAUAUCAAGAAUAAGUUAAUAAUUGCUAGGUGUCUGCUUGGUAAGCUUAUAGCUUAUAAGCUCAUAUGAUUAAAAAAGACCUGUUUGGCAAUUAUCAGCUUUGCACGGGCUUAUAUCUUAUUUUCAUGAGUUUAUAGCGGUUUUUUAUAAGCUAAUUCAAGUAGCUUAUAGCUUAUCACCAAACAAGCCUAAAUGAACAAGUAAUUCUAACCAAUGUAAUGCAUCAUAAAAUAAUUGUAGAGAAGAUGAAAGUAACAAAAAUAGAAAAUCAUUUACAUUGACAAUCAUAAGUUCAAAUUUAUUCAAUUAGCCUAAGAUGGGAUGUAAGAAGAAAGAGAAUACGGAAGAACCUGGUAAGGGAUUAAGGCACCGGAAGCCGCAUCGAUCGCUUGAGCAUUGACUGUGCGUGAUUUUUUAUGAAAACCAAUUUAUGCAUAAUUUGAGAAAAUGAAGAUGUUGCAUCAAAACCCUUUCGAAUAAUUGAUUUAUUUGUAUGAUUUAUUGCAUUUAAGGUUUAUGGUGUUACAAAAC